rnacentral:lncRNA from 1 species
CCAACUUCUUUUUGGGUUCUCUAACAUCUGGAACGCAUCCGGGCUUUUAUUGGUUUGAUAUUUGGGUUGUUAAGCCCAGCCCGGUCCAUUGACUUCCCUACUUACUGGAAAUCAACCGAUAUAUAAGCUUUGUCCUAAGUCCAAAAGCCUGCACAUAAUUCUAAACAAAUGGGGCGGUCCUGGAUUGAAGUCGGCACGCUCAACCAAGUUCAAUUCAAGAAUUUCUAAAAAAAAAAAAAAACAAGAGGAAAUGCAUUCUCCUACCUGAUCCGCCAGCUGUCGGGGAUAACGGCGCGGAUGCAUGGCCGGCCGUUUGCACCCACCCGUGGAGACCUUACCGGCCACGCCUCCACCGCUCCACGUCGUUAUCCAGACAGCUGGUGGAUCAGG